ACUUUAUGGAGAGUUUGAUCCUGGCUCAGGACGAACGCUGGCGGCGUGCCUAAUACAUGCAAGUCGAGCGCAGGAAACUGACGGAACUCUUCGGAGGGAAGGCAGUGGAAUGAGCGGCGGACGGGUGAGUAACACGUAAGGAACCUGCCUCAAGGAUUGGGAUAACUCCGAGAAAUCGGAGCUAAUACCGGAUAGUUCAUCGGACCGCAUGGUCCGUUGAUGAAAGGCGCU
rnacentral:rRNA from 1 species